AGCGAACGCUGGCGGCAGGCUUAACACAUGCAAGUCGAACGAGAUCUUCGGAUCUAGUGGCAGACGGGUGAGGAACACGUGGGAACAUCCCUUUCAGUUCGGAAUAACGUUGGGAAACUAACGCUAAUACCGGAUACGUCCUUCGGGAGAAAGAUUUAUCGCUGAAAGAUUGGCCCGCGUCUGAUUAGCUAGUUGGUGAGGUAACGGCUCACCAAGGCUACGAUCAGUAGAUGAUCUGAGAGGAUGAUCAGCCACAUGGGGACUGAGACACGGCCCAAACUCCUACGGGAGGCAGCAGUGGGGAAUAUUGGACAAUGGGCGCAAGCCUGAUCCAGCCAUGCCGCGUGAGUGAUGACGUCCUUCGGGUUGUAAAGCUCUUUUGUCCGGGAAGAUAAUGACUGUACCGGAAGAAUAAGCCCCGGCAAACUUCGUGCCAGCCGCCGCGGUAA
rnacentral:rRNA from 1 species